CCUCAGACUCACCUGGGUGACAUGUCAACCAGGAAGCUGCGUGAGAAAUUUUAUGCGUUUGUUGUUCCUCAUUUGUGAUCUGGGCCUCGUCGAGCAGAAAGGUGGGACGGGGUCAUCGCACUUUACUCUUCACUGCCGAGUGUGUUUGCACUGCAGGUUUUUGUGGGAGAAGAGGAAGUGGCGGUGCAGGAAGUCAACAAGUGACUCCUUAAACAUGCUGGAUCCAGGAGCGAGUGAGACCACAGGCCUCAGCCACAUUUAUGAAGUACAAGGAUUCAUCCAGGCAAGCGUGCAGAGGAACAACACGGUGAAAGAGCUGCUAAUGAUGAAACGCCAGGAGUGGAACUGCUCAGACGAGGACAACCACAUGGAGCAGAAUUUUAAAUUUGCAGAACCUGAACCCUUUGCCAGCGACGCGAGUCCUUACCAGUUGGGCCUUCACGUACCAGUAAACCAAAACACCCCC